GCCCAGUGAUGAGUCCAAGGCGAAUACGAGCUGACUGAAUGAGCGCUGGGUUCCUCUUUGCCUCGACUGGCAGGUAAUCUUGGCAGUGCAGAGAAACGUUCCUGCUCUGCUGUAAGGGCCUGCCUACAGUGACCCAGCUCAACCCAAAUGAUUCCUCUAAAGUCACAGAGGAGUAAUCACAGGGAGGAUGCUGACAGUGUGAGUGGUUGUUUGUCUGUGUGUGGUGUGUGUGUAGGAGGCGAGGAGGUCACCCAGCUCUCUCAGACCUUCAGUCAGCAGUGAGUUGCAUCUUUGGUAAUCUGAGGGCA